CUAUUUUGGCAGAUAAGUGUGGUGGUUUUAGAAAUCAUAAAUAUAUAAUUUAAUUAUAUAGGUAGUA
rnacentral:tRNA from 1 species